rnacentral:rRNA from 1 species
GACGAACCGUGCGAACGUUGUUCGGAUUCACUGGGCUUAAAGGGCGCGUAGGCGGGUCAGCAAGUCCGGGGUGAAAGCUUUCGGCUCAACCGGAAAAGGGCCUUGGAUACUGCUGGUCUGGAGGAAGGUAGGGGCGUGUGGAACUUCCGGUGGAGCGGUGAAAUGCGUAGAUAUCUGCAGGAACACCCGUGGCGAAAGCGGCGCGCUGGACCACUACUGACGCUGAGGAACGAAAGCUAGGGGAGCAAACAGG